rnacentral:rRNA from 1 species
CCUACGGGAGGCUGCAGUGAGGAAUAUUGGUCAAUGGGCGCGAGCCUGAACCAGCCAAGUAGCGUGAAGGAUGACCGCCCUACGGGUUGUAAACUUCUUUUAUAAAGGAAUAAAGUGAGGCACGUGUGCCUUUUUGUAUGUACUUUAUGAAUAAGGAUCGGCUAACUCCGUGCCAGCAGCCGCGGUAAUACGGAGGAUCCGAGCGUUAUCCGGAUUUAUUUGGUUUAAAGGGAGCGUAGAUGGGUUUUUAAGUCAGUUGUGAAAGUUGUCGGCUAAACGGUAAAAUUGCAAUUGAUACUGGCAGUCUUGAGUACAGUUGAGGUAGGCGGAAUUCGGGGUGUAGCGGUGAAAUGCUUAGAUAUCACGAAGAACUCCGAUUGCGAAGGCAGCUUACUAAACUGCCACUGACAUUGAUGCUCGAAAGUGUGGGUAUCAAACAGGAUUAGAUACCCGAGUAGUC